UCCUGGAGCUCAUUUUCUUGAAAAUGUCAAUUACUGUUGGUUUUACUGCAAAGGCACAAUACUUAACAAUGAACUUCAUCCUUGCGCUAAUUAAAUAGUCUUCCCUUUUGUUACGCUUAUUUAAGGAAAUAUGAUGUCUAAGUUACAGUAAUUAGUGCCCUUGCCCAUGUACAAACUAUCCAAGGCCAAUUAGGAGUUUCAACAAACUAGUAUGCUCGGUGAAUAGCUCUUGGGAAAAAAAAUUGAGCUUAUGGACAGUACCAAUUUUAAGAU
rnacentral:misc_RNA from 1 species